CCUACGGGGGGCUGCAGUGGGGAAUAUUGCACAAUGGGCGCAAGCCUGAUGCAGCCAUGCCGCGUGUGUGAAGAAGGCCUUCGGGUUGUAAAGCACUUUCAGCGGGGAGGAAGGCGGUGAGGUUAAUAACCUCAUCGAUUGACGUUACCCGCAGAAGAAGCACCGGCUAACUCCGUGCCAGCAGCCGCGGUAAUACGGAGGGUGCAAGCGUUAAUCGGAAUUACUGGGCGUAAAGCGCACGCAGGCGGUCUGUCAAGUCGGAUGUGAAAUCCCCGGGCUCAACCUGGGAACUGCAUUCGAGACUGGCAGGCUAGAGUCUUGUAGAGGGGGGUAGAAUUCCAGGUGUAGCGGUGAAAUGCGUAGAGAUCUGGAGGAAUACCGGUGGCGAAGGCGGCCCCCUGGACAAAGACUGACGCUCAGGUGCGAAAGCGUGGGGAGCAAACAGGAUGAAUACCCCUGUAGUC
rnacentral:rRNA from 1 species